UAUCAUAAAAGUGGUGCUGUGCCCUUCACAGUGCAUAUCAGGAGAUGCAUGAUGUUGACAUAUCUCAUUGCUGGAGCUGUCAACGUGAUCACUUGGUUAAGGUGGUGUCUGCCAGGGUUCUCCAUGGUCAAGUUAUUAUAUUUUCCUUUUUUAGUUAAUAAGUAUCUUGUGGGGAGUUAAUUUGAGACUAUGUGAAUAUUCUGUUACUCAUCGUACUUUCUUGUCUACUAAUUUGAGCAUCCAUAGAUGAAUUUGCCUGAAACAAUUAUUACUGUGAUGUUUCCACUUGUGUUUUAAACAAUGACGUACAUACUUAUGCCUGUAUCCAUGCAGAAUAUCUCAGCAAUGAUACAUCAGAAACGGCAAAAAACAGUUAGCUCUGGGGAAGAGAACUCGGGCAGAGGGUGGCUAGACAGCCAAAUCAAGGUGCUGUUUCACCAUGUAACUUUUCCGCAGUGUGAAUUUACCAGGUUCAUAUCUUAUCAUUUGGUGAGGGAUAGGGUGGGAACAAAUCUGUUGAUUUAAAAAGUAAAAUAAUCUUUUCAAAUGACGAAAGAAAAUCUUUUGCUAUCAAAUUGAUAAAUUUGUGAUAAAAAUUACUGGAAGAGAAGAGAAGCUAAAUUCUACUUAACAAAAAGCAUUUUACUGUUUCUUUAAAUAAAAAUCAAGGACCAUUCCUUAUGUUCUCUGAAAGCAUGGCUACUACCACUGGGGUUAGUGAUCCAGAACUGUAGCUAGCUGGUUGGUUCAUUUUACCUUUAAAAUAUAAACAGGAUUAAAAUCUUACUUGUUGCAACUUGUGAUAGAUUUUUAAACAAGUUCUUCAUAAUCUGUCUUUUGGCAUAAAUAUUAAUUCUAUAAUAUUUAUAUUCUAUAAUUCUAUAAUAUGAUAAACAGAAACAUCAGUUCAGCAGCAGAAUAUGGCACACCUACUAUUGAAAGCAGCCAUGUUGAGCAAGUGUAUUAGAAUUUUAUUUGAAACAUCAUAUUCCUUUUCCCAACUAAGAGAAAAUAUUUGCUUUAAAAAUUCCAGGUCAUAUGCAACUGUGAUUUCUUAUCACAAGCAUAUUCUUAUGACAAAACAGAGAAGUUUUAGAACCAUUCAGAAUGUUCUGGAAGCACUGACUCUUCUUAAGCUCUACUUGUCAAAUGCGACAUCUUUGUGUUGCUUCUCUGGCUGGUGGGGGUGCCAGUCUUCCCAGCUCGCGAGCACAAUGGGUCGUUCUGGCGUCUGCUGCAUACUGUGUCCAUUCCUGUGCUGCCCGCAGACUAUGAAACCCUCAAUCACCAUGGUGAAUUUCCACUUGGAAGAUCUGUUGUCCUGUCUUCACUGUGAUGUCUUGGCAUCACUCGAGGUACUGUCAUCAUAG
rnacentral:lncRNA from 1 species